UGUUACCUUCUCCAUGCCCGGACGAGACGCGCCGUACCCGGUUAAGACAAGACGACGCUUG
rnacentral:ncRNA from 1 species